UACGGAGGGUGCGAGCGUUAAUCGGAAUUACUGGGCGUAAAGCGCACGUAGGCGGUUUGUUAAGCGGUCUGUGAAAGCCCCGGGCUUAACCUGGGAACUGCAGGCCGAACUGACAAGCUAGAGUACAGUAGAGGAGAGUGGAAUUCCCGGUGUAGCGGUGAAAUGCGUAGAUAUCGGGAGGAACAUCAGUGGCGAAGGCGGCUCUCUGGACUGAUACUGACGCUGAGGUGCGAAAGCGUGGGUAGCGAAC
rnacentral:rRNA from 1 species